UUUUAUACUGAUGAAUGUAUGCAAAUGCAAAAAUAAAAGAAAAAAUGGAAAAAUUUCAGGAUCAAAAUCGGGGUAUGACAAAUACAAAAAAUAAAAAGUAAAAGAAAAGCCCGCUGAGUCGAAACUUGAAAACAAGUGACUUAGGCAAAAAAAAUUAGGGCAUCCCGGUGGAGUGCAAAUUCAAAAAAAAUAAGUCCAGGAAAAAUAAGGGAAAGCAAAACAUAAAAA
rnacentral:lncRNA from 1 species